UACAGAGGUCCCAAGCGUUGUUCGGAUUCACUGGGCGUAAAGGGUGCGUAGGUGGUGAGGUAAGUCGGAUGUGAAAGCUCGGAGCUCAACUCCGAAAUGGCAUUGGAAACUACCUUGCUCGAGGGUUGGAGGGGGACUGGAAUACUUGGUGUAGCAGUGAAAUGCGUAGAUAUCAGGAAGAACACCCGUGGCGAAGGCGGCUCUCUGGUACGUGACUGACGCUGAGACGCGAAAGCGUGGGGAGCGAACAGG
rnacentral:rRNA from 1 species